rnacentral:rRNA from 1 species
AUUGAACGCUGGCGGCAGGCCUAACACAUGCAAGUCGAGCGGAUGAGGGGAGCUUGCUUCCUGAUUCAGCGGCGGACGGGUGAGUAAUGCCUAGGAAUCUGCCUGGUAGUGGGGGACAACAGUUGGAAACGACUGCCAAUACCGCAUACGUCCUACGGGAGAAAGCAGGGGACCUUCGGGCCUUGCGCUAUCAGAUGAGCCUAGGUCGGAUUAGCUAGUUGGUGAGGUAAAGGCUCACCAAGGCGACGAUCCGUAACUGGUCUGAGAGGAUGAUCAGUCACACUGGAACUGAGAAACGGUCCAGACUCCUACGGGAGGCAGCAGUGGGGAAUAUUGGACAAUGGGCGAAAGCCUGAUCCAGCCAUGCCGCGUGUGUGAAGAAGGUCUUCGGAUUGUAAAGCACUUUAAGUUGGGAGGAAGGGCAGUAAGUUAAUACGUUGCUGAUUUGACGUUACCGACAGAAUAAGCACCGGCUAACUCUGUGCCAGCCGCCGCCGUAAAAC